GUAAAGUGAACUGGGUGACGCAAUUCAAGCCAGCACUGUGGAAUGACUUGUAGGAUCUUGGAAACCAUUGUUGGAUCAUUUUGAGAUGAUAGCACAGCAGUGUCAUUAGCAUAUGUAGCUGUGAUCUUCAAGUAGAGCAAAAAUUUUUCUUCAAGAGCUUGUUAUAUUCUUUCAUUACUUCCUAAGCCAAAGGCGGACUCUGGAGAUGAGCAAGAAAAUGAAGAAAAUUUGGAGAAUGAAGAUGUAUUACUUCAGGCAGCGAGCAAAUUUUUAGAUGUAUACGUUGAAAAACGUUUUGAUGCAGAGGAUGCAUCACAAACUCCAGAAGUGUCAAAGGAUGAGACA